rnacentral:misc_RNA from 1 species
GAUGAAGAACGUAGCGAACUGCGAUAAGUAAUGUGAAUUGCAGAAUUCAGUGAAUCAUCGAGUCUUUGAACGCACAUUGCGCCCCCUGGUAUUCCGGGGGGCAUGCCUGUUCGAGCGUCAUUUCACCACUCAAGCCUCGCUUGGUAUUGGGCAACGCGGUCCGCCGCGUGCCUCAAAUCGACCGGCUGGGUCUUCUGUCCCCUAAGCGUUGUGGAAACUAUUCGCUAAAGGGUGUUCGGGAGGCUACGCCGUAAAACAACCCCAUUUCUAAGGUUGACCUCGGAUCAGGUAGGGAUACCCGCUGAACUUAAGCAUAUCAAUAAGCGGAGGA